rnacentral:rRNA from 1 species
AAGACCUUGCACUUUUGGAGCGGCCGAUGUCUGAUUAGCUAGUUGGUGGGGUAAUGGCCUACCAAAGCUUCGAUCAGUAGCUGGUCUGAGAGGACGGCCAGCCACACUGGGACUGAGACACGGCCCAGACUCCUACGGGAGGCAGCAGUGGGGAAUUUUGGACAAUGGGGGAAACCCUGAUCCAGCCAUGCCGCGUGAGUGAAGAAGGCCUUCGGGUUGUAAAGCUCUUUCAGCCGGAACGAAACGGUUACGGAUAAUACCCGUGACUACUGACGGUACCGGAAGAAGAAGCACCGGCUAACUACGUGCCAGCAGCCGCGGUAAUACGUAGGGUGCGAGCGUUAAUCGGAAUUACUGGGCGUAAAGCGUGCGCAGGUGGUUUUGUAAGUCAGAUGUGAAAGCCCCGGGCUCAACCUGGGAACU